GGAAUAUUGGACAAUGGGCGCCAGCCUGCUCCAGCAACGCCGCGUGGGUGAAGAAGGCCUUCGGGUUGUAAAGCCCUUUCGACGGGGACGAUGAUGACGGUACCCGUAGAAGAAGCCCCGGCUAACUUCGUGCCCGCAGCCGCGGUAAUACGAAGGGGGCUAGCGUUGUUCGGAAUUACUGGGCGUAAAGGGCGCGUAGGCGGACCUGCCAGUCAGGGGUGAAAUCCCGGGGCUCAACCUCGGAAUUGCCUUUGAUACUGUAGGUCUUGAGGACGGGAGAGGGUCGUGGAAUUCCCAGUGUAGAGGUGAAAUUCGUAGAUAUUGGGAAGAACACCGGUGGCGAAGGCGGCGACCUGGACCGUAUCUGACGCUGAGGCGCGAAAGCGUGGGGAGCAAAC
rnacentral:rRNA from 1 species